ensembl:snRNA U6 U6 spliceosomal RNA
GUGCUUGCUUUAUCAGCACAUACACUAAAAUUGAGAUAAUGCAGAGAUUAGCAUGGCCCCUGCGCAACGAUGGCCCACAAAUUCAUGAGGCAUUCCAUAGUUUU